AGAUUGAACGCUGGCGGCAGGCCUAACACAUGCAAGUCGAGCGGUAGAGAGGUGCUUGCAUCUCUUGAGAGCGGCGGACGUGUGAGUAAUGCCUAGGAAUCUGCCUAGUGGUGGGGGAUAACGUUCGGAAACGGACGCUAAUACCGCAUACGUCCUACGGGAGAAAGCGGGGGACCUUCGGGCCUCGAGCCAUUAGAUGAGCCUAGGUCGGAUUAGCUAGUUGGUGAGGUAAUGGCUCACCAAGGCGACGAUCCGUAACUGGUCUGAGAGGAUGAUCAGUCACACUGGAACUGAGACACGGUCAGACUCCUACGGGAGCAGCA
rnacentral:rRNA from 1 species